rnacentral:rRNA from 1 species
GACGAACGCUGGCGGCGCGCCUAACACAUGCCAGUCGAACGAGCGAGAGAGAGCUUGCUUUCUUGAGCGAGUGGCGAACGGGUGAGUAACGCGUGAGGAACCUGCCUCAAAGAGGGGGACAACAGUUGGAAACGACUGCUAAUACCGCAUAAGCCCACGGUGCCGCAUGGCACAGAGGGAAAAGGAGCAAUCCGCUUUGAGAUGGCCUCGCGUCCGAUUAGCUAGUUGGUGAGGUAACGGCCCACCAAGGCGACGAUCGGUAGCCGGACUGAGAGGUUGAACGGCCACAUUGGGACUGAGACACGGCCCAGACUCCUACGGGAGGCAGCAGUGGGGAAUAUUGCACAAUGGGGGAAACCCUGAUGCAGCGACGCCGCGUGGAGGAAGAAGGUCUUCGGAUUGUAAACUCCUGUUGUUGGGGAAGAUAAUGACGGUACCCAACAAGGAAGUGACGGCUAACUACGUG